UUGAUUUUCUAGCUGGCUUCCUGCCUAUGGUGAGCCUGGCCCUGGAUCUUUUAAUUCGAUUUAGUUAGUUAGUUUAGUUAGUUAGUCAGUUUCAUGUAGCCCAGGCUAGCCUCAAGUUCACUAUCAAGCUGAGUUUGAUCUUGAAGUUCUCAUCUUCCUGUCUUCGCCUCUCCAGUGCAAAUGUCCCAGGCAUGCAUCAGCACGUUGGGUUUGCGUGGUGCUGAGGAUGGACCCAGGGCUUGGUGCACGCUAGUGAUGGGAACACCACCACCCCUGCCCCCGGCACCCCAGGACACUCUACCAUUGAGCUAUACACCCAGUCUUGGCACACUCUUCAUCAGAGGUUGGUGCAAGACUUGCUGGGAAACAGGUCACACAGCCCAAGGAUAGAUGAAUCUAGGAUUUGCAAGCAGGCAAGAGGAAGAUUCCUGAGAGCCAG